rnacentral:lncRNA from 1 species
CAUCACCCUCCUGCCAGGGGUUGAAGUCAGGAAGUAGUUUAUUUUCGCUGAAACUGAAGGGGGAAGUUAAAGAGAAAAAUAGCUGCAACUUGGUCAAUUCAGGAAAACCAGGUACGAAAAAAGAGGAGCAAGUUAAAGGGAAAGCCAGCUCGGAUUUGCUCACCAGUAAAAGGCAAAAAUCCCAGUGUUAUUCAUCUGCAUUUGGUGUGAAAGACAAAAGCUCAACUGGGAUCUGAGGCUUUCUGUGUCAGAGGGCAAGGAGUCAAUGGGGUUAUGAGGAAGUAAGACCACUUGAGACAUCAAAGAAAAGUAGAUCAAAUCACUAGACUCCUCCAAACAGGAGUGGGUGAAGACAAAAAGUGGAGAGAAUCCAGAGGGAAGAGAGGAGUAGGGAAAAUGGUGGAAAGGGAAGGUUUUUGAGAUGGAAGGCAGAGAAUGGGAACAAAAGAAGAAAAAGCUGUUUGUUUCAAAUCAAUAUUCUCCAAGAGGAUGUCUUGUUUCCCCAGGGAUAUUCUGAGGGACUCACAGGAUCAGAGCUGCGACACUUCUAACAUAUGAAUUCUCUCAAUUCUGAUGCCCUUUGACCUCUGCCACACAAUGCCAAGACAAACCCAGACCCCAGGCCCUGGAAACAGAGGAGGGGCAGGACGUGAUAGAGCUUCAGCAACAUGGAGAGGAGAUAGCCGGUCUGGCUAGGAUGGAAGAAAUGUACAUGGAGAAGAAAGACAGAAGAACCAUCACUGAGCACUAAACUAAUCAGCCAUAAUGUGCAGAUUGACUGGCAAGCCUAUCACCACCUUGAUAACAGAUGACAUUAAAGAGAAAGGUACACAAAUAUCCAAGAUUGGAAAGAAGAAAGAAAAUGACGACAGAAUUUUGCAGUCUACAAGGCAAACACUGCCAUUCAUGUAGUUAUGGAGUUCCUACUAUGUGCAGACAAUGGGAAACUUUACGAAGGUGAGCAGACAGGGAUCUCACACUCCUACUAUGUGUAGAGCAAUGGGAAAUGUGUGGCAAUAAGGUAAAGGUCUUUUAUUUCAAAAUAUUUUAGCAUAGAAGGAGAAAUGUCUACUUGAACAAUGAACAAAAUACCUUAUCGAAACAAGUCUGUAGAAAUCUGUUUAAUUAGAAAAGCAUAAAAGUUAUUACUCUUAGCUGAGUGGUAACUGAUUUGAUUCAAGUUGUCUAAAAUUUUCAUUGCAG